UACAGACGUGAUUAUUGUUUCCAGCAGUGAAUUUAAGACGGGCCGCAGGUCGGUCAGAGCUGCAGGUCACACUGCCGCUUCGCUCGGCUGUGGAAAAGUUAAAAGCCGUAAUUACGUCGGUAAUUGAAGUGGAGCGUGGCAGGUAGCCAUGGCGAUGAAAGCCUCCAGUUGGCUCUUUUUAAGCAGGAGAUUUCUUUAUUUCUUUAUGUCUUUGUGGCUCAGACAGAGAGGACGUGUUGUGAGAGGGGAAGUCAUCAGGUUCCAACGAAGUUUUCGGCACAAUCUCUUCAAACUCCUCGUUGUGACAGCGACACUGUUCAUGAGCUGAAAGAGAAACAUCGACUUUGUUACUGAAGCAAAGUUUCACCAGCUCGUCUACACGAGGCCGUCUGCUGUCUGUCGACUUUAAUCUUGAAACAUCAACUUUAUUCUCGACAUUUAGAUUUUCCUCUGAUGAAAAUAACUCCUCUGUAAAAACUAACCAAUGAUUUAUGGACGUUUAAAUCCAGUGCUGAAGGUUCUUUGCUCCUGGUGAAUCUGGUGGAUGUUUUGUAAAAUAAUUAUCGCUGUGAUUUAGAUCGAGGACACUUUGUGAGUGUGGACGUCGAUCUUUACUGUCCUGUCGUCUCCUCUCGGUGUGUUCACAUCUCAGAACUGUAUGUGUGUAAUAAAAUAACAUGAACACGUCAC